rnacentral:rRNA from 1 species
UCCGUAGGCGGUUAAUUAAGUCAGAGGUGAAAUCCCACAGCUUAACUGUGGAACUGCCUUAGAUACUGGUUAUCUUGAGUUUUAGUGAAGUAGAUAGAAUGUGUAGUGUAGCGGUGAAAUGCAUAGAUAUUACACAGAAUACCGAUUGCGAAGGCAGUCUACUAACUAACAACUGACGCUAAUGGACGAAAGCGUGGGGAGUGAACAGGAUUAGAUACCCUGGUAGUCC